rnacentral:snoRNA from 1 species
UAACCAUGAUGGGGGCAUUGAAUGAGCAACAUCUUGAACCUUUCCCAUGCCUCAUGGAACGGUUCGCCCUCAGCUUGCGAGAAAGUUGCAAUUUUCCUUCUUAACUCC